rnacentral:rRNA from 1 species
UACAGAGGUCUCAAGCGUUGUUCGGAUUCAUUGGGCGUAAAGGGUGCGUAGGCGGCGCGGUAAGUCGGGUGUGAAAUCUUGGAGCUUAACUCCGAAACUGCAUUCGAUACUGCCGUGCUUGAGGACUGGAGAGGAGACUGGAAUUUACGGUGUAGCGGUGAAACGCGUAGAUAUCGUAAGGAAGACCAGUGGCGAAGGCGGGUCUCUGGACAGUUCCUGACGCUGAGGCACGAAGGCCAGGGGAGCAAACGGG